AUGCUCACUUCAGCAGCACAUAUACUAAAAUUGGAACAAUACAGACAGGAUUAGCAUGGCCACUAUGCAAGGAUGACAUGCGAAUUCGUGAAGUGUUCCAUAUUUUU
rnacentral:snRNA from 1 species